GACGAACGCUGGCGGCGUGCUUAACACAUGCAAGUCGAACGGAAAGGCCCUGCUUUUGUGGGGUGCUCGAGUGGCGAACGGGUGAGUAACACGUGAGUAACCUGCCCUUGACUUUGGGAUAACUUCAGGAAACUGGGGCUAAUACCGGAUAGGAGCUCCUGCUGCAUGGUGGGGGUUGGAAAGUUUCGGCGGUUGGGGAUGGACUCGCGGCUUAUCAGCUUGUUGGUGGGGUAGUGGCUUACCAAGGCUUUGACGGGUAGCCGGCCUGAGAGGGUGACCGGCCACAUUGGGACUGAGAUACGGCCCAGACUCCUACGGGAGGCAGCAGUGGGGAAUAUUGCACAAUGGGCGGAAGCCUGAUGCAGCAACGCCGCGUGCGGGAUGACGGCCUUCGGGUUGUAAACCGCUUUCGCCUGUGACGAAGCGUGAGUGACGGUAAUGGGUAAAGAAGCACCGGCUAACUACGUGCCAGCAGCCGCGGUGAUACGUAGGGUGCGAGCGUUGUCCGGAUUUAUUGGGCGUAAAGGGCUCGUAGGUGGUUGAUCGCGUCGGAAGUGUAAUCUUGGGGCUUAACCCUGAGCGUGCUUUCGAUACGGGUUGACUUGAGGAAGGUAGGGGAGAAUGGAAUUCCUGGUGGAGCGGUGGAAUGCGCAGAUAUCAGGAGGGACACCAGUGGCGAAGGCGGUUCUCUGGGCCUUUCCUGACGCUGAGGAGCGAAAGCGUGGGGAGCGAACAGGCUUAGAUACCCUGGUAGUCCACGCUGUAAACGGUGGGUACUAGGUGUGGGGUCCAUUCCACGGGUUCCGUGCCGUAGCUAACGCUUUAAGUACCCCGCCUGGGGAGUACGGCCGCAAGGCUAAAACUCAAAGGAAUUGACGGGGCCCCGCACAAGCGGCGGAGCAUGCGGAUUAAUUCGAUGCAACGCGUAGAACCUUACCCGGGUUUGACAUGGAUCGGGAGCGCUCAGAGAUGGGUGUGCCUCUUUUGGGGUCGGUUCACAGGUGGUGCAUGGCUGUCGUCAGCUCGUGUCGUGAGAUGUUGGGUUAAGUCCCGCAACGAGCGCAACCCUUGUUCACUGUUGCCAGCACGUUAUGGUGGGGACUCAGUGGAGACCGCCGGGGUCAACUCGGAGGAAGGUGGGGAUGACGUCAAGUCAUCAUGCCCCUUAUGUCCAGGGCUUCACGCAUGCUACAAUGGCUGGUACAGAGAGUGGCGAGCCUGUGAGGGUGAGCGAAUCUCGGAAAGCCGGUCUCAGUUCGGAUUGGGGUCUGCAACUCGACCUCAUGAAGUCGGAGUCGCUAGUAAUCGCAGAUCAGCAACGCUGCGGUGAAUACGUUCCCGGGGCU
rnacentral:rRNA from 1 species